rnacentral:rRNA from 1 species
UGGGGAAUAUUGCACAAUGGGGGAAACCCUGAUGCAGCGACGCCGCGUGAGCGAUGAAGGCUUUCGAGUCGUAAAGCUCUGUCCUAUGGGAAGAUAAUGACGGUACCAUAGAAGAAAGCCCCGGCUAAUUACGUGCCAGCAGCCGCGGUAAUACGUAAGGGGCGAGCGUUGUCCGGAAUUAUUGGGCGUAAAGAGUGCGUAGGCGGCAAAAUAAGUCAGAUGUGAAAACUAAGGGCUCAACCCAUAGAUUGCAUCUGAAACUGAUAUGCUUGAGUCAAGGAGAGGAAAGUGGAAUUCCUAGUGUAGCGGUGGAAUGCGUAGAUAUUAGGAGGAAUACCGGUGGCGAAGGCGACUUUCUGGACUUGAACUGACGCUGAGGCACGAAAGCGUGGGGAGCAAACAGG